rnacentral:tRNA from 1 species
GUACAAGUGCCAGAAUAUAUAUGGGUUGGUUUUAAGCAUCAAUUAUAGACUUUAAGUCUCUUGUAUU